rnacentral:rRNA from 1 species
GAUGAACGCUGGCGGCGUGCUUAACACAUGCAAGUCGAACGGAAAGGCCCAAGCUUGCUUGGGUACUCGAGUGGCGAACGGGUGAGUAACACGUGGGUGAUCUGCCCUGCACUUCGGGAUAAGCCUGGGAAACUGGGUCUAAUACCGGAUAGGACCACAUUUUGGAUGGUGUGGUGGAAAGUUUUUCGGUGUGGGAUGAGCUCGCGGCCUAUCAGCUUGUUGGUGGGGUAAUGGCCUACCAAGGCGUCGACGGGUAGCCGGCCUGAGAGGGUGUACGGCCUCAUUGGGACUGAGAGACGGCCCAGACUCCUACGGGAGGCAGCAGUGGGGAAUAUUGCACAAUGGGCGCAAGCCUGAUGCAGCGACGCCGCGUGGGGGAUGACGGCCUUCGGGUUGUAAACUCCUUUCGCUAGGGACGAAGCGUUUUUGUGACGGUACCUGGAGAAGAAGCACCGGCUAACUACGUG